UGGGGAAUAUUGCACAAUGGGGGAAACCCUGAUGCAGCGACGCCGCGUGGAGGAAGAAGGUCUUCGGAUUGUAAACUCCUGUUGUUGAGGAAGAUAAUGACGGUACUCAACAAGGAAGUGACGGCUAACUACGUGCCAGCAGCCGCGGUAAAACGUAGGUCACAAGCGUUGUCCGGAAUUACUGGGUGUAAAGGGAGCGCAGGCGGGCGAUCAAGUUGGAAGUGAAAUCCAUGGGCUCAACCCAUGAACUGCUUUCAAAACUGAUUGUCUUGAGUAGUGCAGAGGUAGGCGGAAUUCCCGGUGUAGCGGUGGAAUGCGUAGAUAUCGGGAGGAACACCAGUGGCGAAGGC
rnacentral:rRNA from 1 species